CUUCGAUCUCAUUUUCUUUGGAGCUCAGAAGUAUUUUACAGAAGCUCUUUUGCACAGCUUCGUUUCCUUGGCUCCUCAAACCCCAACGGUGCCCAGAGUUGCUUAGUGACUUCUGACGUAGGAAGGCUUGUCUCGACCACUGGAGGGUUAGACGCCUCUAGUCAAGCGUCUAUCUUUCUGUCCUGAUGGCAAGAAGAACAUCUAGGGAGAGACGCCAUUGGAUUAGCCUUGGAGGAAGGCCUUCCCAAAUCAUGCAAACAAUGGAAGAACUGGAUCGGUGUCAUCUCUGGAAAAGGCUGAGCUCUCAUUUUGGCGGUGUCCUUUGUAAUAGUACAAGACGCUCAAUGCUCUGGCAUGGAAAUUAUGAAGGCAGAAUGCCUGUUGGGAGGCACAAUGUGGAGAAGCUGAUAGAGCUAAGGCACCAUCUGUUUGAAGGGGAUAAGCGCUCUAUGGAAAAGGCCUAGGAGGUAUCACUCUGCUCUGAAUUGGCUGCCAUGGCAGGGAUCUUCUUAAAGUCAAACCAACCGUCCAUCCGUAGACUCAACCUGGCUGAUGUCCGGGACUUGCUGACAAUACAGAAAAAGAUCUCAGCCAGAAAUGGAGACUAUACAUGUCAAUCCAUAAUGUCAGCUUCUCCGAUGUCUAAGUCCAAGUACUGAUGUUUGAAAACUUCUUCUGGGUUUAGUUCUCUUCCCCAAUGAAUUAGGCAGAUUGUAUGAUGUGCUGGGUUCCUUUCAGAAACAAGGAAGCGAGCACAAGUCAUUUCGAUCGUGUCCACGGAAUUCAUCUACAGAAGUUGAAGCUGCUUGAAAGAGUUGCAGGUGCCAAACCAUUUUUCGGGAAAUUCAAAAUACUGUACUGCUAAAGUAUUGAAAAGAUCUAUCGUAUUAGACAUUAAAAUUUAGCAAAAAGUU